CCUUCGAUAGCUCAGUUGGUAGAGCGGAGGACUGUAGAUCCUUAGGUCGCUGGUUCAAUUCCGGCUCGAAGGA
rnacentral:tRNA from 5 species